rnacentral:rRNA from 1 species
UUCUGGUUGAUCCUGCCGGACCUGACUGCUAUCGGAUUGAUACUAAGCCAUGCGAGUCAUUGUAGCAAUACAAGGCAUACGGCUCAGUAACGCGUAGUCAACCUAACCUAUGGACGGGAAUAACCUCGGGAAACUGAGAAUAAUGCCCGAUAGAACAUUAUGCCUGGAAUGGUCUAUGUUCCAAAUGAUUUAUCGCCGUAGGAUGGGACUGCGGCCUAUCAGUUUGUUGGUGAGGUAAUGGCCCACCAAGACUAUUACAGGUACGGGCUCUGAGAGGAGUAGCCCGGAGAUGGGUACUGAGACACGGACCCAGGCCCUAUGGGGCGCAGCAGGCGAGAAAACUUUGCAAUGUGCGAAAGCACGACAAGGUUAAUCCGAGUGGUUUCUGCUAAAGAAACCUUUUGUCAGUCCUAGAAACACUGAUGAAUAAGGGGUGGGCAAGUUCUGGUGUCAGCCG